rnacentral:miRNA from 1 species
UGUGUGUGUGUGUUUGUGUGUGUGCGCGCGUGUGCACACGCACACAUACACACAUACACACACACA